GACGAACGCUGGCGGCGUGCUUAACACAUGCAAGUCGAACGGAAAGGCCCUGCUUGCCGGGUACUCGAGUGGCGAACGGGUGAGUAACACGUGGGUGAUCUGCCCUGCACUUCGGGAUAAGCCUGGGAAACUGGGUCUAAUACCGGAUAGGAGCCAUUUUUAGUGUGAUGGUUGGAAAGUUUUUUCGGUGUAGGAUGAGCUCGCGGCCUAUCAGCUUGUUGGUGGGGUAAUGGCCUACCAAGGCGGCGACGGGUAGCCGGCCUGAGAGGGUGGACGGCCACAUUGGGACUGAGAUACGGCCCAGACUCCGACGGGAGGCAGCAGGGGGGAAGAUUGCACAAUGGGCGCAAGCCUGAUGCAGCGACGCCGCGUGGGGGAUGACGGCCUUCGGGUUGUAAACUCCUUUCGCUAGGGACGAAGCUUUUUGUGACGGUACCUAGAUAAGAAGCACCGGCUAACUACGUG
rnacentral:rRNA from 1 species